GACCUUGGGGACUGGUCUAAAAGGUGUUUUAACCUGAGCGAGAGUGCUACCGACCUUGGGAUCACCUUCAAUUGGCAUUGGAGAGCAAUUAGAGGCUUAACUUGAGUAGGGCUGAGGCUUGAUUGAGCUAAAUUUUGGGACUCUUGUGGACUGAUUUGGAGCCUAGUACUAGAGCCAUCUACAGGAGAGGCUAGGGAUCGUGGCAAGGGAG